rnacentral:rRNA from 1 species
ACUCCUACGGGAGGCAGCAGUGGGGAAUAUUGCACAAUGGCGCAAGCCAUGACUGCAGCCAUGCCGCGCUGUGUGAAGAAGGCCAAUUCGGGCUUGGUUAAAGACACUUUCAGCGAGGAGGAAAGGGUGUAAGUUAAUACCUUACAUCUGUGACGUUACUCGCAGAAGAAGCACCGGCUAACUCCGUGCCAGCAGCCGCGGUAAUACGGAGGGUGCGAGCGUUAAUCGGAAUUACUGGGCGUAAAGCGUGCGCAGGCGGUUUGUUAAGCGAGAUGUGAAAGCCCCGGCUCAAGCCUGGAACC